rnacentral:rRNA from 1 species
GAAGUACGGUCGCAAGGCUGAAACUAAAGGAAUGGCGGGGAGCACCACAACGGGUGGAGCUGCGGUUUAAUGGACUCAACGCCGGGCAGCUCACCGGAUAGGACAGCGGAAUGAUAGCCGGGCUGAAGACCUUGCUUGACCAGCUGAGAGGAGGUGCAUGGCCGUCGUCAGUUCGUACUGUGAAGCAUCCUGUUUAGUCAGGCAACGAGCGAGACCCACGCCAACAGUUGCUAGCAUGUUCUCCGGAAUGAUGAGGACACUGAUGGGACCGCCUCUGCUAAAGAGGAGGAAGAAAUGGGCAACGGUAGGUCAGCAUGCCCCGAAUUAUCCGGGCUACACGCGGGCUACAAUGGUCAGGAAAAUGGGAAACGGCACUGAAAAGUGUAGUCAAUCUCCUAAACCUGUCCCAAGUUCGGAUUGUGGGCUGCAACUCGCCCACAUGAAGCUGGAAUCCGUAGUAAUCGCGUUUCAAAAUAGCGCGGUGAAUAAGUCCCUG